CGGUUCUCGUAAGAUCACCGAAAUUAAGCAACGUUGAGCCUGGUCAGUACUUAGAUGGGUCAGCACUUGGGAAUACCUGGUGCUGUAAG